GACUCUCGGCAACGGAUAUCUCGGCUCACGCAUCGAUGAAGAACGUAGCAAAAUGCGAUACUUGGUGUGAAUUGCAGAAUCCCGUGAACCAUCGAGUUUUUGAACGCAAGUUGCGCCCGAAGCCUUUCGGUUGAGGGUACGUCUGCCUGGGCGUCACAC
rnacentral:rRNA from 1 species